UACGUAGGGUGCGAGCGUUGUCCGGAAUUAUUGGGCGUAAAGAGCUCGUAGGCGGCCUGUCGCGUCGGAUGUGAAAGCCCGGGGCUUAACCCCGGGUCUGCAUUCGAUACGGGCAGGCUAGAGUGCGGUAGGGGAGAUCGGAAUUCCUGGUGUAGCGGUGAAAUGCGCAGAUAUCAGGAGGAACACCGGUGGCGAAGGCGGAUCUCUGGGCCAUUACUGACGCUGAGGAGCGAAAGCGUGGGGAGCGAAC
rnacentral:rRNA from 1 species